rnacentral:rRNA from 1 species
UUGUAAGUGUUUUAGGGCGUUCGGUGGAUGCCUUGGCACAUGGAGCCGAUGAAGGACGUGGUGGUCUGCGAUAAGCCUCGGGGAGUUGGCGUGCGAGCUGUGAUCCGAGGGUGUCCGAAUGGGGGAACCUGGCCAGAGUUAUGUUUGGUUACCUGCAUCUGAAUGUAUAGGGUGUAGGGGGUGACGUAGGGAAGUGAAACAUCUUAGUACCUACAGGAAAAGAUAUUCUGUGAGUAGUGGCGAGCGAAAGCGGAUUAGGUUAAACCGGGUGUGUGUGAUAGCUGUCGGGCGUUGCAUAUCCGGGGUUGUGGGAGCUGCUGAGGCCUGCCGAUGGGGGUCUGGAAAGUUAUAAAAUGAUGGCGUAGCUGAAUAGGUUGGGAAGCCUGACCGGAGUGGGUGAUAGUCCCGUAAGUGAAACGUUGUUGUCUUUUAGUGGUUUUUCCCGAGUAGCAUGGGACUCGUGUAAUCUUGUGUGAAUUUGCACCGGCCGUGGUGUAAACCUAAAUACUCUGUGUGACCGAUAGUGGAAUAGUACCGUGAGGGAAUGGUGAAAAGUACCCCGGGAGGGGAGUGAAAUAGUACCUGAAACCGGACGCUUACAAUCCGUCAGAGCCUCCCUGGUGGGGGUGAUGGCGUGCCUUUUGAAGAAUGAGCCUGAGAGUUAGGAUGUGUGGCGAGGUUAACCUGUGUGGGGGAGCCGUAGCGAAAGCGAGUUUUAAAUGGCGUUUUAGUUGCAUGUUCUAGACCCGAAGCGGGGUGAUCUACCCAUGGCCAGUGUGAAGCACGUGUAAGAGCGUGUGGAGGCGCGAACCCACUUCAGUUGAAAAUGGAGGGGAUGAGCUGUGGGUAGGGGUGAAAGGCUAAUCAAACUCCGUGAUAGCUGGUUCUCCCCGAAAUGCAUUUAGGUGCAGCGUGGUGUGUUGCUUGCUGGUGGUAGAGCGACUGGAUAGCUGAUGGCCCUGGUGGGUACUGAGGUUAGCCAAACUCCGAAUGCCGGUUAAGUUUAGCAUUGCAGUGAGACUGCGGGGGAUAAGCUCCGUUGUCGAGAGGGAAACAGCCCAGAUCAUCGGUUAAGGCCCCUAAGAGUGUGCUGAGUGGGAAAGGAUGUGGGGUUGCUGUGACAACCAGGAGGUUGGCUUAGAAGCAGCCAUCCUUGAAAGAGUGCGUAAUAGCUCACUGGUCUAGUGAUUCUGCGCCGACAAUGUAGCGGGGCUAAGUACACCGCCGAAACCGUGGCAAUAUUUUGUAUUGGGUAGGGGAGCGUCGUGCGUGAGGUGAAGCGAUGGUGUGAACUUGUUGUGGAUUGCGUGCGAGUGAGAAUUCAGGCAUGAGUAGCGAUUUGAUAGGUGAGAAUCCUAUCCGCCGUAUGACUAAGGGUUCCAGGGCCAGGUUGUUCCGCCCUGGGUUAGUCGGGUCCUAAGGCGAGGCCGUCAGGCGUAGUCGAUGGGUGACCAGUUGUUAUUCUGGUACCGGUGUAGAACCGUCCGUGCUGAAGCGAGGGAUACUAACCAUCCCGGAUAUUGCUUGACACUUUCGGGUGUUGAGUGGUUGAUGGCGUGGGAACUGAUCUUGUGGUAGGCAAGCGUGUUAACAGGGGUGACGCAGUGAGGUAGCUUCCGCGUGGCUUAUGGCUUGCCGCGUUUAACAGUGUGGCCUGUUUCCUAGGUAAAUCCGGGAAAUGUUUAAGGUGAGGCUGGAUGAUGACCUUUUUUUAAGGGAAGUAGGGUGAUCCUGUACUGUCUAGAAAAGCCUCGACGUGAGGUUCGAGCCGCCCGUACCCGAAACCGACACAGGUAGUUGGGUAGAGUAUAUUAAGGCGUUCGAGUGAAUCGUGGUUAAGGAACUCGGCAAAAUGCCCCCGUAACUUUGGGAGAAGGGGGACCGGAACCUUGAGGCCUUUUUGCAGGCUAGGGGUGAUGGUGGCAGAAACCAGGGAGAAGCGACUGUUUAUCAAAAACAUAGGUCUGUGCGAACACGUAAGUGGAUGUAUACGGACUGACGCCUGCCCGGUGCUGGAAGGUUAAGAGGACUGGUUAGUCAUCCUUGUGGUGGCGAAGCUGAGAAUUUAAGCCCCAGUAAACGGCGGUGGUAACUAUAACCAUCCUAAGGUAGCGAAAUUCCUUGUCGGGUAAGUUCCGACCUGCACGAAUGGCGUAACGAUUUAGGGACAGUGCCUGGUGGGUAGUUUAACUGGGGCGGUUGCCUCCUAAAUUGUAACGGAGGCGCUCAAUGGUUCCCUCAGCCUGGUUGGUAAUCAGGUGGCGAGUGUAAGUGUAGAAGGGAGCUUGACUGUGAGACUGACGGGUCGAGCAGGUACGAAAGUAGGAACUAGUGAUCCGGCCAUGGCUUAUGGUAGCGUGGUCGCUCAACGGAUAAAAGGUACCCCGGGGAUAACAGGCUGAUCCUGCCCAAGAGUUCAUAUCGACGGCAUGGUUUGGCACCUCGAUGUCGGCUCGUCGCAUCCUGGGGCUGGAGUAGGUCCCAAGGGUUGGGCUGUUCGCCCAUUAAAGCGGCACGCGAGCUGGGUUCAGAACGUCGUGAGACAGUUCGGUCCCUAUCCUCUGCGCGCGUUAGAAACUUGUGGAGGGCUGUCCCUAGUACGAGAGGACCGGGACGGACGAACCUCUGGUGUGCCAGUUGUACCGCCAGGUGCAUGGCUGGUUUGCUACGUUCGGUAAGGAUAACCGCUGAAAGCAUCUAAGUGGGAAGCCUGCUCCGAGAUAAGGUUUCGAUAACCCUUUAGGGUUGGGAGGUCCCCUAUAGACUAUAGGGUUGAUAGGCUAGAAGUGGACAGGCCGAGAGGUCUGGAGCUGACUAGUACUAAUGACCGAUCACUUACCAAC